CCCCUUUUCACCGCCUCGGACUACCCCUAUAUUCGUCUCGUUCCCUUCGGGGGACUAUGGGCAUAAACGCGCAUGUAAUAAACGGAUCGGACCCGGGGGCGGUACCCGGCGGCUCCACCAUAUAUCCCGUCGUUGGGGGAUCUUGGGGCCGAAACAGGAUCGACGAACGCGUAAAGAUGUAGCUUUGUCCCGGUGAGAUACCACCGUUAUCGGUUCACAUUGCAUAAUUGCCAACGACAAUCAUGCUCCGGUAGCACUGGCCGCGUAAGCGGUUGGUAACACCGAAACUUAAGCCCUUAUGCUUUGCAGCGUAAGGCGGGGCCCGUCGGAGCCUGGCAACAGAAUCCGACACC
rnacentral:tmRNA from 1 species